GUUAAAUUGUCACAAAUAAGCUCCAAAGUGUUGUGAAAGAGCAACUGAUUUCCUAAAUUAAUCUGUAAGUUUGUUAGUACCAUUUAUUUUAACAAAAAUUUUGAUUGCCACUAAGAAGUUAAGAAUACUGACAAUGGCUGACCAGUUUUUGGAAGAAAAUAGUGUGAGUCUGAGAACUUGGAGUUGUUCAAGAGUCUACUGGAGAAUCCUGCCCUUUCAAAUGACAAUUUUGCCAGCUGCAUUAACUGGGACAAGAUUAUUG
rnacentral:lncRNA from 1 species